GGGCAACCAGCCUCCCCCUCCAACAGCAGCCAGAGAUACCGGGAGAGGGGGAAGACCAACCUACCCACACUGGCGCAGAUGGGACCGCGGUCUCUGUGCCAGUCCUACAGGCAGGCUGGACUGGCGGUCCAGAUCCCCAACCAACCCCGCAGGGAUGCCAGGAGGAGGAGGUAAGCAAAACUUCCCCUCCCCAGCUACAUCCCAACCGGGUCCUGGGGGCAGUGGAUGAGCCUGCGAUACCCACUG